rnacentral:lncRNA from 1 species
AGAAGGGCGGAGCAGGGGACCUGAGAUGAUUUUCUCCGAUAUUUAGUCAGACUGAUUUUCUGGAUCCAAGUUUCUCAACUUACCAAAUGUGGGCAAAUCAUUAUAUUGCUCCCAGCCUUAAAAAUCUUCAAUAAGUUAAAGAGAGGACUCAGACUUAAUGGCAAUCCUGUUAUCUUACCAAUGAGGAGACUAAACAUCUAGUUGGAGAUCACCUCCUUACUGGCUCAGAGCUUCAGGAAAUCGCUCAAGGGUGUGCAAAUACUAAACAGUAGAGCUGGGAUUUAGAUCCACAUCUACUUAAUUUUAGUGCGUAUGCUCUAACUGCUGCCACAGAAGGGAUGCAGAGGAAGAUGGUCAGUUACCCAGAGGGUGAUAUCUUUGACUUAAUGUUCACCAUAAAGACAGCUAUCAACAAAAGACUUGAAUUCUAACUUGUUAUCUAUUGCAGGAAAGUGCCUGCAAUAUGCCAUUGUGACAAGGCACCAUCAAUCAUCAUGUCCCUUUACCAGGAGGGCCCGUGUCAUAAGCCACUAUGUAAAGGGAAUGAUGGGUGGACUGCUUUGGACAAAUGGACCUGGGGUAGGAGAGAGGGACAACAGUAGGAGCAGGCAGAUCUUGCUGUUUCAACCAAAACCUCAUGCUGACCAGAGUUGAGGAACAGAAGAAGAUGGUGAAGGCCUGCAGGUAUAGGUGUUCAGCAUGUCAUCUGAAAUAUUCCCCACAGAGGCAAAAAGAAAGGAAAUUAUCUCUGAAAAGGAAUGGGAAGACAAGUCAGCAGAAUAUCUCAAUGUUUUGGUUGAAGAAGCUGCUUGAAUCUGGGCUUUUCUGUGCCAUGUGUUCUCCCAGGGCCAGCACAAAGAAGGGCUUUUGGUGCAGGCCCAAGACCACCAUAAUCAUCAUUGAUUAUUCCUCUCCACGCCAGUGUCUCUAAAUAAACUUUCUCUUCUUUCUCUGACAAAGGUGUUUUUGAGUGUUACUGUUUAGCUGAAGAGUGACGUUGAGUGACCUUAGUACCCUAGCCCUUCAUGUAAUCAGAUGGGUG